CAACAAACCAACAAGGCAAACAUCAAUAUAAGAAUGGAUCUGGUAUCAAGAGAAAUACAMAAGUUAUCUUACAAAUUGAAAGAGGCUAUUGAUAAUAUUGGAUUGCGAAGGAUAAUCAAGACGAGACUUUUGCUGUUGUGUGUUGUGACCUUAAGAAAAAUGCAAAAACUUAUUUUUAGUGAAAUUAACUAGUACUAUGUAGCCACCUAUUUGAAAAAGGCUGUCAGAGUAAGUGAUAGGUAUUUCCAAAAUGGAAAAUAAUUUUAAAAAAUGGUUUCUUCAUCUUCAAACAACAUAGUCAUGAUAUCUUGACACUUAAAUUUGCAACUGUCAUUGAUGAUAAUAAGAAGCAGCAACACAAGUUAUUUCAGCUAUUCUURGAUGUUGGAAUUACCUUGUAAUUACUAUUGCUCAGACAACCUUUUUUAAAUGGAUAUAAUUUAUUUAUGAUAUAUGUAUUUAUGUAAGUGAUGCAUACGAGUAUUUCAGGGAGAGUUUUUUCAGUAAUUGUUGAUGAAAGUGUUACCACGGAAGAAGAUUGAAAGAGAUKAAAGAWGUUUGUUCACUUUGAAAAAGCAAYGGUAUAGACAGUGUUUGUCUAUAAUAUAGUAACAUAUGAACACAAAAGUUUGAAAAUUAUUAGUUGUGGUUGAUUGGCUGCGGGGAAAUUUGCAUGAUGGUGUCAUUUGACUACCACUACCAAAAAUGGUCUUCUUGUUCUAAUUUGUGUUUCUUUAUGUGAAUAGUAGGAAACUAACACUUGCACUAACAGGUUAUGUGACCCAAUCCCUUGAAGGCAAUUCUGUAGUUUAACACUAGGGUACAUCCCUUCUGUGCAUAACCUAAGACAUGGCAGGAAAUAUUCAGACUUUGUUGUAACAUUAAAAGGAUAAGGUUUAGCCAUUAAUUAGCAGCAAAACUUCUGUGAUAUGAUUCUUAGGRCCAUGAUUUGGUGGCUAUCUUGAAACUUGCCAUAGUCCUCCCUCAGUUGCUGUAUGUUUUGGGGCACCAUCGAAAAUAAUAUAGAUAUUUAAAAGCUUGCCUCCUUUUGAGUACAUCUAUUGUUUGAUCRACUCUAUCAGAUACCCUGUCAUAAGGAUUUGUGUGGGAAAAGUCCUGGUCACGUGACCUGUUAGUGCAAGUGAAAUCCUGUUACAUUUUCCAGAAAAUAGCGAAAAAUUCACAGCKACRAAAAGCAUGUUUUAAGGGCAACGAGUGGCSGCAYACUGGCACAUGCGUGUGUGAUUUUACCUGAAUAUUCCUGUCAGUCAGUUGUUUGUGAGGAAGGUGUAGUUGGUUYUGUGUGAAUGGGACUUGCAGUAAAGUAAAAUAUUUCAACCCUUGAA